UACGGGGGGUGCGAGCGUUGUCCGGAAUCACUGGGCGUAAAGGGCGCGUAGGCGGUUUGAUAAGGCUGUGGUGAAAGCCCGGGGCUCAACCCCGGGUCUGCCGUGGCGACUGUCAGACUGGAGGGCUCGAGAGGCAGGCGGAAUUCCGGGUGUAGCGGUGGAAUGCGUAGAGAUCCGGAAGAAGACCGGUGGCGAAGGCGGCCUGCUGGCGAGUACCUGACGCUGAGGCGCGACAGCGUGGGGAGCAAACAGG
rnacentral:rRNA from 1 species